GACAGUGACACAUCUGGCUACACCUGAGUGAUUUCACCUCUUUCUCCACCCUCCCCUGGGAUGUGUGACCUGAGCCUCUGGUGCCUGGUGGUAAAACACCUGGAAUGGGAAUGUUUCUGAGCCCCCAGGAAGGAUCAGGAGCAGGCAGCCCCAGCUCCUAAGCACGACCAUUCCUUGGGGGAUGUGGUCAGUGUGGGAACAACAUAAGGAAGAAUGUCUUAGCUCCCAGUGCCAACCUCUCGUCCCACUGCUCAUUCUGCCCUCACAACUGGAGUGCAUUUUUUACACUCACUUUACACAAUGAAGUCGAGAAGGAGAAGAAAGAAAAUAGAACUGCUUACAAAGCUAAAGAAAAACAAAGUUGCAUAAAAUAAUUGUUUAAAAUUUACUGUCUGCUUUAUUGUUCAAUGCUAAAUGAAAAAAGAAACUCCCAAAACUUCAUCAU